rnacentral:rRNA from 1 species
CGUGCGGUUCUAUUUUGUUGGUUUCUAGGACCGCCGUAAUGAUUAAUAGGGACAGUCGGGGGCAUCAGUAUUCAAUUGUCAGAGGUGAAAUUCUUGGAUUUAUUGAAGACUAACUACUGCGAAAGCAUUUGCCAAGGAUGUUUUCAUUAAUCAGGAACGAAAGUUAGGGGAUCGAAGACGAUCAGAUACCGUCGUAGUCUUAACCGUAAACUAUGCCGACUAGGGAUCGGACGAUGUUAUUAUUUGACUCGUUCGGCACCUUACGAGAAAUCAAAGUGCUUGGGCUCCAGGGGGAGUAUGGUCGCAAGGCUGAAACUUAAAGAAAUUGACGGAAGGGCACCACCAGGGGUGGAGCCUGCGGCUUAAUUUGACUCAACACGGGGAAACUCA